rnacentral:sRNA from 1 species
GUAGGGGGGUCACGCCUCCUGGAACUCAGGGACCCCAAGUUUCUGUGCAUUCAGGGCGGGGCUGGCCCCAUGCCCUGUGCAUAGGGGCCUGGCUGCAUCCCAGUCGAUCAGCCAGAGGCAGCAGCAGUGGACUCAUCAAUUGUGGAGGAAGCCCUGGGGACCCUGGGGACCUUGCCGACUCUAUUCCUAGCCGGCUCCUAGGACGAGCCUCAGAGCCAACACCUGCUCGACCCUCUCCCGGCCCCUCCCCUUCUUUGUCUUUUGCAGAUGAUCGCCGGGUGUCCUCCUUUUCCCCCUAGUCAGAUGAGGACACUCAGAUUCAAGGACAUAAGUGACUUGUGCAUAGUCACAUAGCUAGGAGGUGGCUGCACCAGGAUUCAGAUCCAGCCUGUCUGAUGCUGACCACAUGGUCUGUGGGGUGCUGCAGAAAGAAAACUGCGUAAAGAAGGUGAUCCUGGCCUCGGGGAGUUCCUGGUGUGUGCCUCCAGCCAGCGUGGUACCCUGCAGAGGGCACUCCGACAAGGUGAGCGCUUCCGCGGCGGGGCUUCUGUAAAGAGGUCACAGCA